CUCUUUUCCGUAUGCAAGUGUGUUCCUCUAUUUGAUGCUAAAGGUGGAUGCUCCUAAUGAAACACUUCAAAAAUGUUGUUGUUACAUUUUGUAGUAUUCUUACCUUUAGCGUCAAGAGAGGAACACACUCGCCCACCGAAAAUGAC
rnacentral:pre_miRNA from 1 species